UAUUUUAGAUGUAAAUUAUUUUAACCUAAGUAGUAUUAGUUAAUAUCUUGAAACUUAAAGAAUUUGGCGGUAUUUUAGUCUAAUUAGAGGAAUCUGUCUCUUAAUCGAUAAUCCACGUUGAACCUUACCAAAUUUUAUAUAUGUAUACCGCCGUUAUUAUUGAAGAUCUUUUUAGAGUUUAAUAAUUUUCUGGAUUUAUUUUUAAAAUUUAUUUCAGGUCAAGGUGCAGUUUAUGGUUUGGUGAUGAUGGAUUACAUUUAUAUUUAUUAUUUGAAUUAUUUUUUGUAAUUUGAGAUAUGAAAUUGGAUUUAAUUGUAAUUUUUUGUAGAUUAUAAUAUUGAUUUUAGC
rnacentral:rRNA from 1 species